rnacentral:lncRNA from 10 species
AAACACAAGAAAUGGCGAGUCACUCCCAGAAAAAGGUAAAUAAAUGCCAAGGAGAGGAGACGGAUCAGCCCUGGCCGUCACAUGAAAUAACCAGGACAGCACAGAAGAAAGAGCACGCAUUUUUGAGGCAGACAGACCUGAUUUAAAAUCUAGAUUUGGCCACCAACUUGCUGUGUAGCCUUUAGACAAGUUUCUUAAACCUCCACACAUCUGCUUCCCCUGGCUCAGUGAAAUGAGAGUAUCAAUGGUAUUUGCUUCAUGCCUGUUUUGAGAUCCGCAAGGUCUCAUCCCUGAGAAGCAAGCACCAAGAGUGUUCUGGUGAACGCGUUGUCAUCACCGCUGCAGCCACCAGCUCUCAAGCCAGCCCUGGAUCUCCUUGUCCCGGGAACUGCUCCCCCUCUGAAUCUGAGCAGCGGCUUCCGAGGCUCUGACCCCUCUCUCUGCUGCCUGCCUGCUGGCCCUAGGGCCUCAAGCCGCGAUUCCUCAACCCUGCUGAGACCAGCAAGCCAUUGAUCCACACUGCCUUCUCACUCGCCAUCAACCAGCUCAUGUCUCAAGAUUCUUAUUAAUUUGAAUGAAAUUUCCAGUAUUCAACCAUUUUGAUCUACACAAUGGCUAUUUGAUAAGGCUCAAACCAAUCAUAAAAAUACAGCAAUUUGUCGUAGUGGCUCACGCCUGGAAUCCCAGCACUUUGGGAGGCCGAAGCAGGUGGAUCAUGAGGUCAGGAGAUCGAGACCAUCCUGGCUAACACGGUGAAACUCUGUCUCCGCUAAAAAUACAAAAAAUUAGCCGGGCA